rnacentral:rRNA from 1 species
AUUGAACGCUAGCGGGAUGCUUUACACAUGCAAGUCGAACGGAGGGGCGUACGGGUGAGUAAUAGAUCGGAAAGUGCGUAGUAGCGGGGGAUAACUACUCGGUAGAACGGCUACUACCGUCUAGUAUUGGCGCGGCCGCAAGCGGAUUAACUAGUUGGUGGGGUAAAGGCACACAAAGGCAACGAUCCGUAGCUGGUUUGAGAGGACGAACAGCCACACUGGGACUGAGACACGGCCCAGACUCCUACGGGAGGCAGCAGUGGGGAAUUUUGGACAAUGGGUGAAACCCUGAUCCAGCCAUCCCGCGUGUAUGACGAAGGCCUUCGGGUUGUAAAGUACUUUUGGCAGAGAAGCGGUAUCUGCAGAAUAAGCACCGGCUAACUACGUGCCAGCAGCCGCGGUAAUUC